rnacentral:ncRNA from 1 species
AAAAGACUUAGUCCUAACCUUACUGUUAAUUCUUGCUAAACAUAUACAUGCAAGAAUCCAUGCCCCAGUGUAAAUGCCCUCAAUCUCUUAUUAAGAUGAAAGGAGCGGGCAUCAUGCACACCUGUAACCGUAGCCCAAGACACCUUGCUUAGCCACAUCCCCAAAGGUACUCAGCAGUAAUUGGCAUUAAGCAAUAAGUGUAAACUUGACUUAGUUAUAGCAACUCUCAGGGUUGGUAAGUCUUGUGCCAGCCACCACGGUCACACACGAGACCCAAAUUAACCAUAUACAGUGUAAAGAGUGGUACCGUGUUGUCACAAAGACUAAGAUCAAAAUGCAACUGAGCUGUCAUAAGCCCAAGAUGCACCUAAGGUCACCCUUAAGGUGAUCUUAGCACCCUCGAUCAAUUAAACCCCACAAAAGCUAAGACUCAAACUGGGAUUAGAUACCCUACUAUGCCUAGCCCUAAAUCUUGAUCCUUGCCCUGCCAAAGCAUCCUCCCGAGAACUACAAGCACAAACACUUAAAACUCUAAGGACUUGGCACUGCCCCAAACCCACCUAGAGGAGCCUGCUCUAUAACUGAUAACCCACGAUACACCUGACUGCUCCUCGCCAGAGCAGCCUACAUACUGCCAUCGCCAGCUCACCUCCCUUGAGAGUGCAAUAGUGAGCAUAACAGCCUAAACCCGCUAACAAAGCAGGUCAAGGUAUAGCCCAUGGAGCAGAAGAAAUGGGCCACAUUUUCUAGUAUAGAAAACUUCACAGAAGGGGGUGUGAAACCACCCCCAGAAGGCAGAUUUAGCAGUAAAGCAGAACAAUAGAGCCCCCUUUAAGUCCGCCCUGGGGCACGUACAUACCGCCUGUCACCCUCCUCACAAGCUACAAGCCCCCAUAACUAAUACACAUCCCAGUUGAAGAUUAGGUAAGUCAUAACAAGGUAAGUGUACUGGAAGGUGCACUUAGCAUACCAAGAUG